UCCAAUCUCGCCUACUUCAGCUUUAAUCUCUUGAAUAACUGUGCAAUAACACAGCAAUACUGUAAAAAAACAAUAUGGAUGUCUGCUGUUUGAACAGGUGGUCGAGCGCUCACACCAAAACAAUGCACACAUCACAGACUCACAUCAUGAAUGAGAUUCACAUUAUCCCACCUCUAUUUUUAGACGUUUCACAGUUCACCUAUAUAGCUUCUUCUGCUACGAUAACACUACUGAUUAAUGUGAACUUGUGUGAGUAAAUCUCUCCUGGGAGCAUGAUUCCACUCCAGGUGACCCCUUCCAAGUGGUUGUAAAUGGUUUUGUUAGAGAACCAAUAGCUGUGGUUACGUUGUAAGCAGAUGUGCAGAUGUUUAGCAGAUUUCACUGCUUUUAUGAAGAUUGCUACAUUUGAACAUUAAGGACCCUUUCUCAAACUGCUCUCCCUCACUGGCACUUAACUACGGAGUAUCUCUCCACAUGAAACUACCGUCACAGCUGUGGAUUGUUAAGGGGUGGGUAUAAAUAAACAAGUAAAUUGUGGGAUACACUCACCGCUCUCAGGAAACAUCCAUUACCACGGAUACUGAUAGACGCCUUGCUUCUGUUCCUGUCAGCUCCUGAGCCCAGCUGUUGUGUAAUAUGUUGUUUUUGCUGUUUCCCUGCAAAUGAAGAAUGUCUCUAAAACACUGAAGUGCCAAACAUGCAUCCCCCACUAAAAACCACUGAUCCACACCAGAAAAGAGCAGCAGGAUGCGGGAGGGUGCACACAGAGCUGACAAGAGCAGAGCAACAGAUGGGAAGUCCGGGAGGAGGGAACCCAGGAGACAGCGUCUAACAGAGAUGGCGUAGGAGAAGGCAUCGACAGCAGCCGCCAAUCCUUAGCUCAGCUGGAGUGGCAUUGGGGAUCCACCCCCACAAGGAAACAAAGACAGAAGAAGAUCACUUCACUUUAGAAGGGAGAUCUAUCAAAAAUACACAUCCAUAAACAAACUAAAAUAUAAAUCCAACACAUAGAUAACCCCAGCGUUUCAUCAUCGUGUCCGGUUAACUGUUUCAUCUCAUAAUAAAAUUGUAUUAUUGUUCCAUAAAGGUGCUUGAGGGGUUUUGAAUAUGUGUAUUA